AAAGGCAGAGGGGGCAGAUAAGCCUCACCUCUCCUGCAAAGGCAGCCUUCAGUGGAAGAGAUUUGUAAAAACUUCAGCCAAGAGCUGUUUCUGUAGUAUCUUGGCUAUCCCCUAGUGCUGGAGGAAUAACACAUCAGCUUUCCUGUAGAGAGAUGAAAAAAAAUGCUGCAGAAGAUGAAAGCAAGAAUGAAUGGAGAGAGAAAGAAGACGGUAUCCAAGCUGUGGCUUGCUGAUUUUUGGAAACGUAAAUCAAUUAAUGUGUCAAUGGAUGUGAAAGUUAAGAAUAAAGUUUACAGCCUGUA